rnacentral:rRNA from 1 species
AUUGAACGCUGGCGGCAGGCCUAACACAUGCAAGUCGAGCGGAGCGCCGGACGCGUGCGUACUACUUAGGUAUCUGCCUCGGAGUGGGGGAUAACGUUCGGUAACGGACACUAAUACUGCAUACUAUCAGAUGCGCCUAGGUCGGAUUAGCUAGUUGGUGGGAUACUGGCUCACCAAGGCUACGAUCCGUAACUGGUCUGAGAGGAUGAUCAGGCACACUGGAACUGAGACACGGGCCAGACUCCUACGGGAGGCAGCAGUGGGGAAUAUUGGACAAUGGGCGAAAGCCUGAUCCAGCCAUGCAGCGUGUGUGAAGAAGGUCUUCGGAUUGUAAAGCACUUUAAGUGGGGAGGCGUUACCGACAGAAGAAGCACCGGCUAACUCCGUGCCAGCAGCCGCGGUAAUAC